UUAAGAGCUAAUUAACUGGACGUUACCCACAGAAGAAGCACCGGCUAACUCCGUGCCAGCAGCCGCGGUAAUACGGAGGGUGCGAGCGUUAAUCGGAAUUACUGGGCGUAAAGAGUGCGUAGGUGGUUAAUUAAGUUAUCUGUGAAAUCCCUGGGCUCAACCUGGGCAGGUCAGAUAAUACUGGUUAACUCGAGUAUGGGAGAGGGUAGUGGAAUUUCCGGUGUAGCGGUGAAAUGCGUAGAGAUCGGAAGGAACACCAGUGGCGAAGGCGGCUACCUGGCCUAAUACUGACACUGAGGCACGAAAGCGUGGGGAGCAAACAGGAUUAGAUACCCUGGUAGUCCACGCUGCAAACGAUGUCAACUAGCUGUUGGUUAUAUGAAUAUAAUUAGUGGCGCAGCAAACGCGAUAAGUUGACAUCGU
rnacentral:rRNA from 1 species